rnacentral:rRNA from 1 species
CCUACGGGUGGCAGCAGUGGGGGAUAUUGCACAAUGGGGGGAACCCUGAUGCAGCGACGCCGCGUGGGUGAAGAAGCGCCUCGGCGCGUAAAGCCCUGUCAGCAGGGAAGAAAAUGACGGUACCGGAAGAAGAAGCCCCGGCCAACUACGUGCCAGCAUCCGGGGGAAAACGAAGGGGGCAAGCGUUAUCCGGAUUUACUGGGUGGAAAGGGGGCGGAGACGGCGAUGCAAGCCAGGAGUGAAAGCCCGGGGCCCAACCCCGGGACGGCUCUUGGAACUGGGUGGCUGGAGUGCAGGAGGGGCAGGCGGAAUUCCUGGUGUAGCGGUGAAAUGCGUAGAUAUCAGGAGGAACACCGGUGGCGAAGGCGGCCUGCUGGACUGCAACUGACGUUGAGGCCCGAAAGCGUGGGGAGCAAACAGGAUUAGAUACCCGGGUAGUC